AACUUGAUUUGCACAGUUGGGAAUUUCUGGAUGGGGCCAAAGCGCCUCCAACGUGGGCAAAGUAGAUGUCCCUGAAAAGCUCAUAUACAGGGAUUUAAACAAUUGGUGCUUUUGUCUCCUCCAUCUUUCCAGCUGCAUUGCAAUUGUUUAAUUUUCCAAAGUUAAUUAUAUAUUCUGGAGGACAAUGAAUAUGCGCUUCAGAUACUCCCAGUAUUUAUUGUGCUGGUUGGGAGGCUUGGAGAAGCCUUUUGAAGCUCUUUGAAAAUGCAAGAACAGUAGAAUUCCAGUCAUUUCCCUAUACAAACCUUAAGCAAGUCCAGACAACAGCCACAUACUUUCGAGAGAGUCAUCACCGGAUAAAGAAACACGCAAUUUGCAAGGGGGCAAGCCUUGUGCUUCGUAAAGCGUCAAAGGAGAGUCGACAGUGUACAGAAAGAGCUGCCACCUCUUGUCAUCUUGCAAAGCUUGCCUUGACUUUGCACAGAUCGUUCAAAGUAGCGAUUCCUUUGACCUUGCACCAAAAGAUGGACUUGAGUGAAAACUGGGACUUGGAUGAUGCCAACUGGCUGACCCACAGUGGAAUUCUUCAUUUUCUCAAUGCUUUAAGAGACACCGAGGCUUCCAAAGGUGAUCCAGUGAUCUUUGGUGCCCAUCAGAUAGGUAAGUAAAUAUCUUUGGAAUUAUU